rnacentral:rRNA from 1 species
AUUGAACGCUGGCGGCAGGCCUAACACAUGCAAGUCGAGCGCGAAAGGCCUUCGGGCUGAGUAGAGCGGCGGACGGGUGAGUAACGCGUAGGAAUCUACCUGGUAGUGGGGGACAACAUGGUGAAAACCAUGCUAAUACCGCAUACGCCCUAUGGGGGAAAGCGGGGGACCUUCGGGCCUCGCGCUAUCAGAUGAGCCUGCGUAGGAUUAGCUUGUUGGUGAGGUAAAGGCUCACCAAGGCGACGAUCCUUAGCUGGUCUGAGAGGAUGAUCAGCCACACUGGAACUGAGACACGGUCCAGACUCCUACGGGAGGCAGCAGUGGGGAAUAUUGCGCAAUGGGCGGAAGCCUGACGCAGCCAUGCCGCGUGUGUGAAGAAGGCCUUCGGGUUGUAAAGCACUUUCAAUUGGGAAGAAAGGUUGCGUGUUAAUAGCACGUAGCUGUGACGUUACCUUUAGAAGAAGCACCGGCUAACUCCGUGCCAGCAGCCGCCGUAAGAC